rnacentral:rRNA from 1 species
CAGGGAGCUUGCUCCCUGUGAUUAGUGGCGAACGGGUGAGUAACACGUGAGCAACCUGCCCCUAACUUUGGGAUAACUUCGGGAAACCGGGGCUAAUACCAAAUACGACCCAUGAGGGCAUCCUCUGUGGGUGGAAAGAAUUUCGGUUGGGGAUGGGCUCGCGGCCUAUCAGCUUGUUGGUGGGGUAACGGCCUACCAAGGCAUCGACGGGUAGCCGGCCUGAGAGGGUGAUCGGCCACACUGGGACUGAGACACGGCCCAAACUCCUACGGGAGGCAGCAGUGGGGAAUAUUGCACAAUGGGCGCAAGCCUGAUGCAGCAACGCCGCGUGGGGGAAGAAGGCCUUCGGGUUGUAAACCUCUUUUGGCAGGGAAGAAGCGAAAGUGACGGUACCUGCAGAAAAAGCGCCGGCUAACUACGUGCCAGCAGCCGCGGUAAUACGUAGGGCGCGAGCGUUGUCCGGAAUUAUUGGGCGUAAAGAGCUCGUAGGCGGUUUGUCACGUCUGCCGUGAAAAUCCGAGGCUCAACCUCGGACCUGCGGUGGGUACGGGCAGGCUAGAGUGCGAUAGGGGAGAGCGGAAUUCCUGGUGUAGCGGUGAAAUGCGCAGAUAUCAGGAGGAACACCGAUGGCGAAGGCAGCUCUCUGGGUCGCUACUGACGCUGAGGAGCGAAAGCGUGGGGAGCGAACAGGAUUAGAUACCCUGGUAGUCCACGCCGUAAACGUUGGGCGCUAGACGUGGGGGUGGUUCCACCGCUUCCG